UUAAGUCGGUUUACCAAUGUUUAUUUUUCUCUUUAGCUUUAGUGUAAGACCUCAAGAUUCAGACUGUUUUCUGAGCUCUGCUCCAUGAUUUCUAACAGGAACAGGAACAUAAACACUCUAAUUAACAUUUGAUGUCCUGACAGGCUUCAGAUCGAAGACACAGAAAUGAGUUGUCUGCCAUUGUGGAGUCAAUAGCUGAGAAUCACACACAAACACCCAUUUUUUACAGUCUCACAAAGAAGUAGAAAGACUGAUAUUCGCUUUUAAAAGUACAGUUCUUAAAUAAUUUUUAUCACUCCUAGCAACAGAAUAUUUUUUUAAAGUCCUAGGAGGUUGAAUGUCCUUUAUGACCACCUGAUGUAUAUUUUGCAACCUAAAACAUUUCCCUCUAGGAUAUAAUUUUAGCAGUUAUCACUUCAAACGUAGAGUUCUUUAUACCUAGGGUUUUCAAACAAUUAAUCUAUCAUCACUGGAGGAGGUCAUCAGGAAGACAUGACUGCAGGUUGGCCCAUGAGCUGGACCCAGGCAGUUGGAGGCUCCUCAUGUGUUUCCCUGUCCUUGGAAUGUACAUUCUGUUUGCCUUCCCUGCUCCCAGACACUGCCCCAAGGAUCCAGCCUUGAGACAGUAAUGUGAUGAUGAGACUAACUGGACUGGGUACAGGACUGAACCCAGUUAAAGUCUUUAUAUAAACUUUUAUGAUACUGGUGGGCAUUUGCAGAGAUCACCUUAUCUUGUGGGCAUCCAAAACAAGCCUUAUAAGUUAGGUCCCAUGCUUAUUAAACUUGCCAGGCACUAAUGUGCAGUGGUCUGCCUCUUCGCUUUUUUAAAUGGCUGCACCCUUGGCAUAUGGAGGUUCCCAGGCUAAGGGUCCAAUUGGAGCUACAGCUGGCGGCCUAGCCACAGCCACAUCAACAACAGAUCUGAGCCACAUAUGUGACCUACACCACAGCACAUGGCAACGCCAGAUCCUUAACUCACCAAUCAGACUUGUUUCCGCUGUGCCACAAUGGGAACUCCUGGUCUGCCUCUUCUAUCUCUCCUUUCCUUCUGUGUGUGGGAGCAGGGAGAGGGGCAGUUUCUGAUCCCACCUGGAAAGCUCCUGAGGUUUUGAACCAACAGUCAUAUUCAGUCAAAAAUCUUUUCCUUAUUUAAAAGAGAAAGGAGGUUAGAAAUAUGAAAUUGCUCACUCAUUAUUUCAAAGUUAACUAGUACUACAGGAAGUAAGAUCCAGAACUCCUAUUUUAGUUCUGGUCAAUUCUUGUAUAUUUAAAUAUUUACUAUGGCUAGAAUUAUUAUAAAUUAUAACAAUUACAAAAGAAAGCAGUUAAGCUCUAGGGUUUGAUCAUAUCUAAAGAAAUGUAAAUUUGUUCACUUUGCCCAAGGAGCAUAGGAGGGCUCUCCAAAUGUUUUAUAAUAUUUUCUUUUAACUGUAAUAAAUGACCAUGCUGGGAAAAUAAUUAUUUUAUAGUGCUGGGUCUCAGGGAAUAUUAAUCUCAUUUCAAGUAAAAUUUUAACUGGGUAGAGCUGAAAGCAUCUGUGAGUGACUGAAUGAAAUCUCACACAUGGACAUGCCUGGUUCUGUGCACCUGGUUAGAUCUGAAUCUAGAUUCCAUUCUUUAGGAGAAGUAACAUGAUCCAGGAUUUCCUCUGCUCAGAUACCCACAUGCUAUGACUGAAUCAGGAGGUAGUGAGAGCAAGAUAGCCAAUCAGUAAACAUCCAAACGUUUGUAAUGUCUCUCAUCAUUGCAUGUGUCUGAACUAACUCUAAAACAAAUAUAUAUUUUUACUUAUAAUUUUUAAAUUGUGGAUGAUAGUUGGUUGCAGUUAGUUUCUACAAUACCUACAUUAUACUUGGCUUUGAAGUUCAUUUUAAAAAAUAUAACUGUUGAGAUUGACAUUUUAAUUUUAAGGUAAGCUUUAAGCUUAUAUAAAUUCAUAAAUGGUUGGGAUCUUAGUUAUGCUUUAAUAUUUUGGUUAUGGUCAACUGAAGUAGAGUCUUGUCAAAUAUUUUUAGGCUAAACAAAUACUGAAUUUAACAGAUGACAUCAAAGAGUUUUUAUAAUGUAUUUUAAAUUAUUUUCCUAUGCUGUUCAGCUCUUCCAGAUAAUGAGGUAGAAAACAGAAUGACUCCUUAUACAUGUUCAGUGACACUUGGUAUUUGAUAUUAGUUAUCUUUGUACAUUUUUAACUUUUAUAAGUGUAAUGUAAACUUCUUGAAGGUGGUAUGUAACAGGCACUUAAUAUUUACUGAAUGAAUAAAUGGACAGGCCUCCAUAAGACUCCAGGAAAGGAUAGAUAAGUGGCAGAUCUGCUUCUAUGCACAGUAAAAAGUAAUGCAACUAUGUUUCCUCAAUGACUGGGUAUCUGCUGAGUACUUGUUCAUUAAAAAAAAAAAGUGUGUGUGCUUUUAAGCAGCCAUUUCAAAGAAGCAUGACCCCAUGUAAAAACAGCUGCAGCAAAAUGUCUUGUUUUAAGGGAGAAUGGGGGUGAACUAAUGGCCAUGGCAGCAAUAGAUAUGUGUGUGUGUGUGUGUGUGUGUGAGAGAGAGAGAGAGCGAGCAAAGACAGAGAUAGAGAGCAGGUGCUUGAGCAGAAGGGGAGAAGGGAAGCAGUAUAACAAGAAUUGACCCAUGCAGCAUAUGGAUGUCUUGGAAAUUAGUCUAAUCCCCACAAUUUACUUUUGCACUAUUUCUUGAAUCCAUCCUCUCUCCUCUCAUUCUAUUGAUGAAGCCCUCACUUCAAGUCUCCUAUUAUGCUAUGAUAGUAGUUUAUCUAUAUUCCUCCUGUUUCCAACCACUGUCAAGACAACUGUUUCCACCAAUUGCGCACAGUAAUAAUUUAAAAAGUCAAACAUGUUUAAAAAGUCAAAUCUGUAUUUGCCUGUAAUUAUCUAUACUAAUUUUCUUUCUUCUAUUCUCAUAUGCUCGAUUGGGAUGGAAAUGACUGCAGGAAAAGCUAGGGCCUAGGAAUUGCACAAAUCCUUGUAUACAUGUACACCUAUCAUUUAUGUGACCCCCCCCCAAAAAAAAUGGUGGAGAAUAACAGCUUUCAGGGAAAAAGUCCAAAGUCUUUAACAUCAUAGAUGAUUCUCCCAGACUGGCCUAAAUAUAGCUUUCUGGCUUCUACUCUUUUUCACCUACACCCCUACAAAAUGGGCUCACCCACAGUGGGCUAGUCACCGUCCCCAAAACAUGCCAAACACUUUCAUGCUUCCGAGCCUUCACAUACCUUUGCCCUCCCUUCCCCACCACUACAAACAUUUUAAGAUGAACUCAAAUAUUCCCUAUUCCAUAAAGCUCCCAGACUUCUCCAGGCACAGUCAACACCUCCAUCACACUCCUUUUAAAAAUUAUAGUAGAAAUGUUUGUCUACUCUUCCCUCCCAUCACUCACCAACUCCAAAACUUUUAUGUCUCUAAAACUUCUUCAAACAGCUUCCUGUCUUAGCACAUCUCUUUGCCUGGUUGAUUGUCUUCCAUCAAUGGUAGUAUGAAUGGAGAUAAACGAAAACAAAAUCAAUACAACAUCUGGUUCUAAAGGACAGUGAGGGAUUCUCCUGUUAUUCGUUUAUGCUACUCCAUGAAUAUUCCCUAUGUUAAAAGGCUUUCAAGGCAGGAAAUCUUCUAAUUUUCAUUAGGAACACUAGUCUCUUACACAGGAAGUUUUUACAAAAUCCUGCGAAAAAGAUGCCUAUAUUGUCAAAAUACACAUUUCACACUUCCUAUUAAAAUGUCCUCUAAAAAGCAUUGUAAUCCAAUUAAGAAAACAUGUUUUGCAUGUCAUUCCAAAUGUGUCUAUCUUAAAACUGAUUUAAUGAUGAGGUAAUAGUACUCUUUCCUGUUCUUCUUUUAAUUCAAAAAAUCUUGGAGCUCCCUUGUGGUGCAGUGGGUUAGGGAUCUAGCAUUGUCAUUGCUUUGGUAGGGGUUUGAUCCCUGGUGGGGGAACUUCCACAUGCAGUGGGUGUGGCCAAAUUUUUUUUAGUUAAAAAAAGAAUUUGUUCAUAUAUCCAUUUGCUUCUGAAAUCAUAUUAUGACUAUGGUCUUUUAAAUCAAUAAAAUAUCCAACUGAAAUCCACAAAACUCUUUGUGGAUCUUAAAAGCUCCUAAGCCUCCAAGGAAUACACAAAUUUCCCUUUCUCCUAAUGAGAAAGGUGACAGAGUUCACUACAUUCCUAUAAAUAAACAUCAUCCUUUGUAACUAAAACUCUCCAAAAUGUCUUCCUUUCAGAGGUCUGAGGGCCUAUCACUAUUUGCACAGUAAUGAAGUCCUUCAUUUUGGUAUAUGUGAACUUAAUACUCUUUAGUGCAUCCAGACAAUCCUCAAGAACUCCAAGGAGCCUUUGGCAGACAAGGCGUCAGGAAAUCUAUGGGAAAGCAUCAGUAGAAGAUCUAUAACAUGAGGCAACAGUAAAUGGAUCUGGGAAUGCCAUGAAUUUUAGGAAAUUAUGGACUCCAAAAAGGAAUGGGAACAUAGACAAAUUGUCUUCUUGGGAGGUAGGAAUGAAGAGUGAAGGGGAGGAUAUGAAGAACAUUUCAGAUUGCCAGAGAAGUAAACUUUAGGGUGAAACAAAGGUGCCAGUGAAUUCUCUGAUUUCUGUACCUAGCAAUUUUGAAAUGCUUCAUGGUAUAUGAACAGCUCUAUUAUGUGCCUAAGUCUACAUCUCUUCAACCAAGAUAAAAGCACUGGACACUAUCCUAAGUAUAAAACUACAAAGUAAAACAUUCAGAAAUAUUCUAGUUUUAAGUAUGGCGAAGAAAAAAUAACAUACAAGAAAAUACACAAGUUAUUUUACAGUAACUUUAGCAAAUCAGAAGCUUAAUUAGGGUUGCCUUUAAAAAUGAACUUUCUCAAAGUAGAGCUAUGAUUUCAGGUUUGUUCAGGUGCAGGUUAUGAUGUAAUUUACAGAAAACUGAAAUUUUUUUUUUUUAAUCUUUUUAGGGCCAUACCCGUGGCAUAUGGAGGUUCCUAGGCUAGGGGUCGAAUCUUCCCAAGCUAGGGGUUGAAUCGGAGUUGAAGCUGCUGGCCUACACCACAGCCACAGCCAGAUCCGAGCUGAGUCUGUGAUCUACACCACAGCUCACGGCAAUGCCGGAUCCUUAACCCACUAAGCGAGGCCAGGGAUCGAACCCGCCACCUCAUGGUUCCUAGUCAGAUUAGUUUCCACUGUACCACAACGGGAACUCCUGAGAAAGCUGAAAUAUUUGAUAGUUCUAUCUAGUAAGCAGAACUUUAAAAAUAAUGUUUGUUGAUGUUUUUGAGUGGUAGUUCAAAGAACAUGGAAUAAAAUUCAAAAGGAUAAACAAUAAAAAAAUGAACUUUGGAGUUGUUAGAUGUGUAUUAACUUAUUCAAAAGUAUAUACUGAGCAUUAUAUUGGUUAUAUGUAAUAUGGGAUUACAAAGAAUAAGUGAAGGCUUGGGCAACUUAAGUCUUACAGAAAAAAAUUUAACUUAAUUUGGCAUUUCACAAAAUUAUGUAACUGCAUCUUUUUUCACCUAACACCUGUAAACAGAUCAUGACACUUUAGAAAAUGCUGAUUUGGGCACACGGUUUUAAAAAAUGUAUUCCUACAUACUUCCUAAGGCACUGAAAACAUAAAUUUUUAACACUUUUCACAUUUUCAGAAAACAUGAAAGAGCAAGUUUGCAAAUUCUUGGGAAUCAUAAAAAUAAUGAGAGACAGAGUUAAGAGGGAGGAGGGAAAACAACAAAUAGCUUUCCCAUACCACAGAAAAUGAUCUAUAACU
rnacentral:lncRNA from 1 species